UACGAAGGGGGCUAGCGUUGUUCGGAAUCACUGGGCGUAAAGGGUGCGUAGGCGGGUCUUAAGUCAGGGGUGAAAUCCUGGAGCUCAACUCCAGAACUGCCUUUGAUACUGAAGAUCUUGAGUUCGGGAGAGGUGAGUGGAACUGCGAGUGUAGAGGUGAAAUUCGUAGAUAUUCGCAAGAACACCAGUGGCGAAGGCGGCUCACUGGCCCGAUACUGACGCUGAGGCACGAAAGCGUGGGGAGCAAACAGGG
rnacentral:rRNA from 1 species